rnacentral:rRNA from 1 species
GACGAACGCUGGCGGCGUGCUUAACACAUGCAAGUCGAACGGAAAGGCCCUGCUUUUGUGGGGUGCUCGAGUGGCGAACGGGUGAGUAACACGUGAGUAACCUGCCCUUGACUUUGGGAUAACUUCAGGAAACUGGGGCUAAUACCGGAUAGGAGCUCCUGCUGCAUGGGGGGGGUUGGAAAGUUUCGGCGGUUGGGGAUGGACGCGCGGCUUAUCAGCUUGUUGGUGGGGUAGUGGCUUACCAAGGCUUUGACGGGUAGCCGGCCUGAGAGGGUGAACGGCGACAUUGGGACUGAGAUACGGCCCAGACUCCUACGGGAGGCAGCAGUGGGGAAUAUUGCACAAUGGGCGGAAGACUGAUGCAGCAACGCCGCGUGCGGGAUAACGGCCUUCGGGUUGUAAACCGCUUUAGCCUGUGACGAAGCGUGAGUGACGGUAAUGGGUAAAUAAGCACCGGCUAACUACGUG